rnacentral:rRNA from 1 species
UGACCUCGGAUCAGACGUGAAUACCCGCUGAACUUAACCAUAUCCCUAA